AACGAACGCUGGCGGCAUGCCUAACACAUGCAAGUCGAACGAGACCUUCGGGUCUAGUGGCGCACGGGUGCGUAACGCGUGGGAACCUGCCCUUAGGUUCGGAAUAACUCCCCGAAAGGGGUGCUAAUACCGGAUAAUGUCUUCGGACCAAAGAUUUAUCGCCGUUGGAUGGGCCCGCGUUGGAUUAGCUAGUUGGUAGGGUAAAAGCCUACCAAGGCGACGAUCCAUAGCUGGUCUGAGAGGAUGAUCAGCCACACUGGGACUGAGACACGGCCCAGACUCCUACGGGAGGCAGCAGUGGGGAAUAUUGGACAAUGGGCGAAAGCCUGAUCCAGCAAUGCCGCGUGAGUGAUGAAGGCCUUAGGGUUGUAAAGCUCUUUUACCCGGGAUGAUAAUGACGGUACCGGGAGAAUAAGCUCCGGCUAACUCCGUG
rnacentral:rRNA from 1 species